rnacentral:rRNA from 1 species
UACGAAGGGUGCUAGCGUUGUUCGGAAUCACUGGGCGUAAAGCGCGCGUAGGCGGCUUUUCAAGUCAGGGGUGAAAUCCCACAGCUUAACUGUGGAACUGCCUUUGAAACUGUAAAGCUAGAGUGUCGGAGGGGAUAGCGGAAUUGCUAAUGUAGAGGUGAAAUUCGUAGAUAUUAGCAGGAACACCGGUGGCGAAGGCGGCUAUCUGGACGACAACUGACGCUGAGGCGCGAAAGCGUGGGGAUCAAACAGG